rnacentral:tRNA from 1 species
UCUAAUAUAGUAUAAAAUAAUAUGCCAAAUUUAAGCUUUGGAGAAUAAAGAAAUUUAUAUUAGAU